rnacentral:rRNA from 1 species
GACGAACGCUGGCGGCGUGCUUAACACAUGCAAGUCGAACGGAAAGGCCCUGCUUUUGUGGGGUGCUCGAGUGGCGAACGGGUGAGUAACACGUGAGUAACCUGCCCUUGACUUUGGGAUAACUUCAGGAAACUGGGGCUAAUACCGGAUAGGAGCUCCUGCUGCAUGGUGGGGGUUGGAAAGUUUCGGCGGUUGGGAUGGACUCGCGGCUUAUCAGCUUGUUGGUGGGGUAGUGGCUUACCAAGGCUUUGACGGGUAGCCGGCCUGAGAGGGUGACCGGCCACAUUGGGACUGAGAUACGGCCCAGACUCCUACGGGAGGCAGCAGUGGGGAAUAUUGCACAAUGGGCGGAAGCCUGAUGCAGCAACGCCGCGUGCGGGAUGACGGCCUUCGGGUUGUAAACCGCUUUCGCCUGCGACGAAGCGUGAGUGACGGUAAUGGGUAAAGAAGCACCGGCUAACUACGUG